rnacentral:tRNA from 1 species
GCCUCCGUAGUUCAAUGGAUAGAACAGCGGCCUUCUAAGCCGCUGAUGUAGGUUCAAUUCCUGCCGGAGGUA